CCGCCCUUAGCUCAGCUGGAUAGAGUAGCAGAUUCCGAUUCUGUUGGUCGGGGGUUCAAAUCCCUUAGGGCGGG
rnacentral:tRNA from 1 species